rnacentral:rRNA from 1 species
UACGUAGGGUGCAAGCGUUUGUCCGGAUUUAUUGGGCGUAAAGAGCUCGUAGGCGGUUCCGUAAGUCGAGUGUGAAAAAUCUGGGCUCAACCCAGUGGAGCACUCGAUACUGCGGUGACUGGAGUACGGUAGAGGAGUGUGGAAUUCCUGGUGUAGCGGUGAAAUGCGCAGAUAUCAGGAGGAACACCGACGGCGAAGGCAGCACUCUGGGCCGGUACUGACGCUGAGGAGCGAAAGCGUGGGGAGCAAACAGG